GGUAGGACUGGUGACUGGGGUGAAGUCGUAACAAGGUAGCCGUACCGGAAGGUGUGGCUGGAUCACCUCCUUUUAG
rnacentral:rRNA from 2 species